UACGUAGGUGACAAGCGUUGUCCGGAUUUACUGGGCGUAAAGAGCGCGCAGGCGGUCGUUCAAGUCGAGUGUGAAAGCCCCCGGCUCAACUGGGGAGGGUCACUCGAUACUGAUCGACUCGAAGGCAGGAGAGGGAAGUGGAAUUCCCGGUGUAGUGGUGAAAUGCGUAGAUAUCGGGAGGAACACCAGUGGCGAAGGCGACUUCCUGCCUGUUCUUGACGCUGAGGCGCGAAAGCGUGGGGAGCGAACGAGGA
rnacentral:rRNA from 1 species